CACAUAUAUCAAGCGUGGGAAGGCGAAAGAAUGGAAGAAAGGAUAAAAUUCAAAAUAUUAUUGGUUAAUAUUGGGACUUUAUAGUGUAAGAGGAUAUUUGCGGAAGUAGUUUGGUCUUUUUAGUUUUAACGCCUCAUUAUAUUUUCACGUUGCUUCCUUUGUGUACUCAAGUGACUUAUAAAUGCAGCAUUCCUGUCUCAUACCGCUGACAGUGAAAGGGAAACGUCUUUAUUAUUGAUAUUCAUGAUUCGUAAUAACAGCUCGCCUACGCUCGCUGUAAACUUUAUUCGAUGAAACGAGAGUCUUCGCUAAAGUACUGAAAAUUCACAAGACCUAUUAAAGUAUCGAACUGAAAGCAAGUGUUUUCUAAUCAGCUGAUAACAGACGCGAUGAGGAAAGGAAGCCUGUCAUGGCUAUAUACGGCAUGGCUUAUCAUAAUAUCGUUUGCUAUAAAUGAUGUCAAAUCAGGUAAGAUUGAAACAGACUUAGUAUAGUAAUACUCUUAACUAAUAUCACAUUUUACUCGGCCAGCAAACGUCGGCUUUCUGGCCGAAAUACUGUGACGAUUACUGAGAUCAUAAAGAAAGCCAUAUUAUAUGCUCACGUUCGAAUUUCAUUCCAUGAUAAUUUCGAAAUGCCUGCGAGGAUUCAAUCGUGACGAGGGCGAGUCACUGGUGAUUGAUUUAAAAAUAUAAACAAAA